AUAUUGAUGAUCCAAGUAGCUUCCAUCCUUUGGAAUAAGCAGUCACAAACAAAUAUAUCAAGCCAUUAAGCACAGGUAAUCGGAAUAAACCUCCAGGGGGUAUCCCAAAAAUAAAGUGGAACACCAGGCCAUCUCUGCAAGAGUCAUGUGAGCCCUCACAAAAAAACUCAACAAACAGGUUAGAGAAACAAGAUAGGGUAAUCA
rnacentral:lncRNA from 1 species